rnacentral:rRNA from 1 species
UUGAACGCUGGCGGCGUGCCUAAUACAUGCAAGUCGAGCGCGAAAGUCCUCGGAUGAGUAGAGCGGCGCACGGGUGAGUAACACGUGGGUAAUUCUGCCUAGAGAUGGGGAAUAACUCCUCGAAAGAGGAGCUAAUACCGCAUAAGACCACAGCAUCUACGGAUGCAGGGGUUAAAGGUGACCUCUAUUUAUAAGUUAUCGUCUCUAGAUGAGCCUGCGCAUUAUUAGCUAGUUGGUGAGGUAAAGGCUUACCAAGGCUACGAUAAUUAGCUGGUCUGAGAGGAUGAUCAGCCACACUGGAACUGAGACACGGUCCAGACUCCUACGGGAGGCAGCAGUAGGGAAUAUUGCUCAAUGGGGGAAACCCUGAAGCAGCAACGCCGCGUGAGUGAUGAAGGCUUUCGGGUUGUAAAGCUCUGUUGUACGGGGAAAAUGAUGCUAUGGCUAAUAUCCAUGGCAAGUGAUUGUACCGUAUAAGAAAGGACCGGCUAACUUCGUGCCAGCAGCCGCGGUAAGACGGGGGGUCCUAGCGUUGUUCGGAAUUAUUGGGCGUAAAGCGUGUGCAGGUUGUUUGAAAAGUUGGAUGUGAAAUCCCUGGGCUUAACCCAGGACGUGCAUUCAAAACUGUCAGACUUGAGUAUGGAAGAGGAUCGUGGAAUUCCUAGUGUAGUGGUGAAAUACGUAGAUAUUAGGAGGAACACCGGUGGCGAAGGCGGCGAUCUGGUCCAAUACUGACACUCAUACACGAAAGCGUGGGGAUCAAACAGGAUUAGAUACCCUGGUAGUCCACGCCGUAAACGAUGGAUACUUGAUGUUGAAGGUAUUGACCCCUUCAGUGUCGAAGCUAACGCGUUAAGUAUCCCGCCUGGGGGAGUACGGUCGCAAGAUUAAAACUCAAAGAAAUUGACGGGGGCCCGCACAAGCGGUGGAGAAUGUGGUUUAAUUCGAUGCAACGCGAAAAACCUUACCUGGGUUUGGAAUCCCGUGAACGCCUGAGAGAUCAGGAAGACCCGCAAGGGACACGGAGACAGGUGCUGCAUGGCUGUCGUCAGCUCGUGUCGUGAGAUGUUGGGUUAAGUCCCGCAACGAGCGCAACCCUUAUCAUUAGUUGCCAGCAGUUCAGUGCCGGCACUCUAAUUGAGACUGCAACGUUGACAAAGCUGGAGGAAGGUGGGGAUGACGUCAAGUCCUCAUGGCCUUAUAUUCCAGGGCAACACACGUUCUACAAUGGUCAGGCACAAAGCGCUGCUAAACCUGCUGAAGUGGAGCCAAUCGCAAAAAAGCUGUCUAAGUUCGAUUGGAGUCUGCAACUCGACUCCAUGAAGCUGGAAUCGCUAGUAAUCGCAGGAUCAGCAUGCUGCGGUGAAUACGUUCCCGGGUCUUGUACACACCGCCCGUCACAUCACGAAAGUGGGUUGUACUAGAAGUCGUCGCGCCAACCCGUAAGGGAGGCAGGCGCCCACGGUAUGAUCCAUGAUUGGGGUG